CUAUGUCUUUGGGUUAUUUAACAUUCUUAUGUAUGUGAGGAACAGAAUUAAAACUAUAAAUGUGACCCCUGCCCCUCCGACAGAACCAUGCGCAGUUAAAAGCAGACAUGCCUGUAAAACUUUCAAAGAAAGCUGAAGAAAAAACUGACAUUAAAAGCUGGCUUGGAAUUGAUUGAUGCACUCUAAUAUUUGAAGUUCACUUGCUGCCCUAUGCUACAAAGCCCGGGGGUUAGUACGAGUGGCUCUCUAAUGAGAGCCUGUGUGAACACUUACUGCUUUAUAGGACUGACUUUCAUCGCUGAGCGGGAACGCUCUCAUGGCUGCUAGACUCCAAAAUCAGAUCUACACAGAAAGCAACACGCUCCAUUUGGCCUCUGAAAGGCGAGUCUAUGGCAAAUUCCACAGGGACAUCCCAUUCGCUGUGAGGAUUGAAGUGACCCACUCAGAAAUCAGCAUGCGAAGCUUUGAGCCUUUCUUCCCCCUGCCACUCUCCUGAGAACAUUAAAUCGUACUUUUCAUUCCCUUCACCAUAGGGGGAAACCCCUUAAUGAUGACAGAGAAAGAAAAAUUCCUCCACUCUGUCCUAUGAUACCAUUCUGCUGUCAAGCAGGCGUCUCACUGGACAGAGAAUCAAACAUGUCUUCCAGCAGGUGGAGUGUUGCUGAAGGUCACACACAGAAACACAACGGCAGCACAUCAGAGGAAGCACAGAUUCCCACAGCAAAUUAAGUCAUCUGUGAAAACUUUUCAUUUAACGGUUAGGGACUAAAUUUAUUGGGGGAGCUUUUCAUGUUGGCCAACAUGUACACUACUUGCAUAUCUACAGCAAACAUGUUCCACAUGGAGAAAAAAGAUCCAGAGUGAUUCACUCUCACUGACUCAGUCUCGAGAUGUGUCUUUUCCCAACUUCCCUAUUCUCUCUUUCUAUCUACAUGAAUCUCUCUCUCAAAUGCUUAUGAAUCAAGUUAAAACCGAUCCACGUUGCUGAAACGGCUGGUCCCUACAGAUUGCAUACAGUGCUGUAUAUGCUGGGCACUGGGUGCUUCAAACAGAGGUGAAAAGAAAC
rnacentral:lncRNA from 1 species